GACGUAGGGCGCGAGCGUUGUCCGGAUUUAUUGGGCGUAAAGAGCUCGUAGGCGGCUUGUCGCGUCGACUGUGAAAACCCGCGGCUCAACUGCGGGCCUGCAGCCGAUACGGGCAGGCUAGAGUUCGGUAGGGGAGACUGGAAUUCCUGGUGUAGCGGUGAAAUGCGCAGAUAUCGGGAGGAACAUCAGUGGCGAAGGCGACCGCCUGGCCCAACACUGACGCUGAGGUGCGAAAGCGUGGGUAGCAAACAGG
rnacentral:rRNA from 1 species